rnacentral:rRNA from 1 species
GACGAACGCUGGCGGCGUGCCUAAUACAUGCAAGUCGAACGCACUCUCGUUUAGAUUGAAGGAGCUUGCUCCUGAUUGAUAAACAUUUGAGUGAGUGGCGGACGGGUGAGUAACACGUGGGUAACCUGCCCUAAAGUGGGGGAUAACAUUUGGAAACAGAUGCUAAUACCGCAUAAAACCUAACACCGCAUGGUGUAGGGUUGAAAGAUGGUUUCGGCUAUCACUUUAGGAUUGGACCCCGCGGUGCAUUAGUUAGUUGGUGAGGUAAAGGCUCACCAAGACCGUGAUGCAUAGCCGACCUGAGAGGGUAA